rnacentral:rRNA from 1 species
AAGAGACAGGUCAAGCAGCACAAGCCAGAAGCCGGUGGAGAAACGUCCCAGCAUAAGACUUAUUAUCACGUUCCAUGAAACUCAUUUACCAGGUGUUUAGUCACGUAGACCUCACGAUCCUACACACCCCUGUUUUUCUACGGUAACGUAUCCGGGCAACCGUCUCUUUAGUUUCGAAAUGGUCCGCAACAGUCGUUACUAACUACUCUAUUAACCAAAUCGACGAAAGCCUUCUCCGCUGCCCUUAGUAUUUUUGGUACUACCCAUACCUCUAGUUGUACUUCUCUCUACCUUCUCAGAUAUUAAGCAAAAGGACGGUUGUUCGUAGUGUUCAUUAUAGCUCUCGCUCGUCAACGUCUACUCUCCCCUCUGCUCGCACCCACCUCCAGUCCGAAACCGUUCCCUCUGCACCCAGGCGCCACCUCACACUUUCUACUGCAGCUAACCGGCAACGGCGCGGUGUCCGAGGACAAACCGUCGCCGAUAUACGUGCCAGCAGCUUCUUAUAGCGAUACUACAUAUAAAGACACCCAAAGAGGUAAACUUACGAAGAGGAGUUGCUGGCACAGUUAGACCGAACGCAAACGUUGACACUAAAACCAACUCUACACGUUCUAGUAGGGAGAGAUCUAAGAUUAAAACAGACAUCCAAAUACAUGUAAACUAAACAGCCACCGAUUCCAUCACCACUACCGUGUCCGAUUGACUAAGUCGGAAAACGAAGCUUAUAAACAUGAAGAGGUAAAGAAUUAACAACUCUGUUUUUAUUAUUGGAAUCCAUUUUGACGACAGAUUUGUAUCACGCAUAAAGAAAAUGCUUUCUUUUACAACACGUUGUACGAGUAGGUACUCUUGGUAGAUAAGUCGAAAAUAGAUUAAUGUGUAACUUGUUAAACUAAUACUUAGAUAAGACCACGUCGGAUAGAUGCGAACGUAACGAUUAUAACAAUAUUCAUUAGAUACCGUAAGGACUAUUUACUUACAACUUACCCCUACAGUACAGUAUCCAAUUGGGAUAACGAAACAAAAAAGAGAACUUGAAGGUAUACGCACGGGUGAAAUCUGUGGUGUUUAAUUAAACCUCAAACUAAGAUAUGAAAAAUAAACGAAAUAACAAAACGACUAGAUCUCUUUCGGCUCCUGUUAAUCUCUCAAGGUAAGGUAAAUACGUCUACUUCUACUAUUACUCUUUAAGGUUGUAAUACGGAAAGGGUAACUUCUUCGUUUAAGAUCGUCUCUUCGGUUAAAACAUCUAACUUCUUGAAAUCCAACUGUUCGGACUUUUUCGGACACAUUUGACACAAGAAAUUCGGCGGCAGCUAGACAGGUACCUGUGACUGGACCCGACAGCGCCGAAGUGGGUGUGGGUCACGGAGGGGUUAUACAUGCUGGUUGGUUGUGUUUCUCCGUGUUACAGGAACUGGAACCCCAACCGCGACGUGCGGCUGCGUCGGCGGCUGCUAAACAGGAACCUUUGUCUGUACCUGCUCAAAUUGUUGGGUCCGGUCUCUUUUUACAACGGAAGAGAAUGUAGCUAGACACCAAGGUAGGGUACCUACAUGAUCGAUGUCACCCUCCCCGCCUUCGCGGACGGUGACGCUCCUGACGCUUCUCCACUCCACGAUGACGAUGACCUUGGUGCUGGUACCGCCGUGGUUCUUCAAGGAGGAUAAGCGUAGGGUGCUGUUUCUAAUAGACCAGUGUUGCGGAGAAGGGGGUAGACAGAAAAACAUACACGACGAGGGCAGCUAGCUAAGUCUGAAGUCUCAAAGGAGACAUGUAAAGGAGGAAGACUCUGUAGUUUCCUCCCAAGUUAAACUCCAAAAGAAAUCCCCGACUAAAAAAAAACGAAUUAAAGUAGAAACGGAGUUUUACAAUGAGACUUACUAUGUACGAUUUUAGACAGACCCUUACCUAUCUUGUAUUGUAAAACGGAAAACCCUUUAGACAAAGUGUUGUAUACAUACAAUACGUGGUUCUCCACCGUUCUUCUUAUGAGACGUGACAUGACAUGAUACACACACGGACGGUUUGACAAAUGACUUAUGAAAAACGUUCACUUUUUUACGAAGUUUACGACGAUUACGACUCUUGGUGGCAACGACCAGAAUCUUUCCCUCCCCAAAAGUACUAAUAAAACCCACAAUUUAAAAGUGACUUUUUUAUACAAAUCAUGGUAAGAAUCGAUCCAAAACACGUACCUUAUUUGAACAAAGUCCUAUAAAAUGGACCUUCUUGACUGACUGUUGUUUACUUCUCCAUCGUCAUUUUGUUUGUGAGACGUGUACGCACAGUUUGAUUAGUAACUAUGAGGUUGACUUCGAUUGAGAACACUUCUAUCUCUUAAUGAUGUGACGACAGACGCACGUACACUUCUAGAAAACCUCUAUUAAUGAAUACAUGGUUAUGGUACUCAGGCGAUAAAUAAUUACAAGUGGUUUUUACUACUAUUUAAACCAUUAAUUAACCACAGAUAAUUCACAUUUGAAAUAGCUAAAAAACACACUCAAGGCACGGUUACUCAGGAAAACAAAAGAAACAAAAGGUCUCGUGAGUUAUUUAUUUUGUCUCGUGUCUCGUCAUCGGAAACCUGGUUCAAUAUCAAACACGAACCAUAAUUUACUAAACCUCGUCCGAUGUAGACACUACUGUGUCUAACCAAUACGUCCUAGAGAACCGAUUUGGAAGACGAAAUAGUACUCCUGUUGUUAUCACCAAUCAAGAGUAGACUCGAACUCAACACCACUUACGCUGGCUACAAAGCUGGCGUAUGCUUCUACAUCAAGAAAACUAAAUAGCUGAUUAUAAUAGCAUAUAUCUGCACUAGGAUAUGUCUCCGCUUCACACCAUCGUCUGAUGGGAUAGGAAUAACAUUUAAUACACACUAGUGGCGAUACUCCGUCAGGAAGCCUACCUAAAUUGUGAGGUACCAACAACAUUUAAUACUUAUUUAAUACGACAUCAAAAUCAUAACAAGAGAUUAGGAGACGUACACAAUAGGACA